rnacentral:rRNA from 1 species
CCUACGGGAGGCAGCAGUAGGGAAUUUUCGGCAAUGGGGGAAACCCUGACCGAGCAAAGCCGCGUGAACGAUGAAGUUCUUCGUAAUGUAAAGUUCUUUUAACAGGGAAGAAAGAGACAUUUGACGGUACCUGAUGAAUAUGCUCCGGCUAACUACGUGCCAGCAGCCGCGGGAAUACGUAGCGAGAGAGCGUUAUCCGGAAUUAUUGGUCGUAAAGGGUGGGUUGAGGGCAUAGUAAGUCUUUGGUAAAAAUGCUGGGCUAAACCCAGAAGGGCAAAAGAUACUGCAAAGCUAGAGUUUGACAGAGGCAAGUGGAACUAGAGGUGUAGCGGUAAAAUGCUUAGAUAUAUGUAAGAACACCAGUUGCGAAGGCGGCUUGCUGGGUCGAUACUGACAUUGAGGCACGAAAGCGUGGGUAGCAAACAGGAUUAGAUACCCCUGUAGUC